GGUUCUGUAGUGUAGCGGUUAUCACGUCGCCCUGUCACGGCGAAGAUCGCGGGUUCGGUUCCCGUCAGAACCG
rnacentral:tRNA from 1 species